rnacentral:rRNA from 1 species
UAAUGUUGAAAAAUUAGCGGAUGACUUGUGGCUGGGGGUGAAAGGCCAAUCAAACCGGGAGAUAGCUGGUUCUCCCCGAAAGCUAUUUAGGUAGCGCCUCGUGAAUUCAUCUCCGGGGGUAGAGCACUGUUUCGGCAAGGGGGUCAUCCCGACUUACCAACCCGAUGCAAACUGCGAAUACCGGAGAAUGUUAUCACGGGAGACACACGGCGGGUGCUAACGUCCGUCGUGAAGAGGGAAACAACCCAGACCGCCAGCUAAGGUCCCAAAGUCAUGGUUAAGUGGGAAACGAUGUGGGAAGGCCCAGACAGCCAGGAUGUUGGCUUAGAAGCAGCCAUCAUUUAAAGAAAGCGUAAUAGCUCACUGGUCGAGUCGGCCUGCGCGGAAGAUGUAACGGGGCUAAACCAUGCACCGAAGCUGCGGCAGCGACGCUUAUGCGUUGUUGGGUAGGGGAGCGUUCUGUAAGCCUGUGAAGGUGUACUGUGAGGUAUGCUGGAGGUAUCAGAAGUGCGAAUGCUGACAUAAGUAACGAUAAAGCGGGUGAAAAGCCCGCUCGCCGGAAGACCAAGGGUUCCUGUCCAACGUUAAUCGGGGCAGGGUGAGUCGACCCCUAAGGCGAGGCCGAAAGGCGUAGUCGAUGGGAAACAGGUUAAUAUUCCUGUACUUGGUGUUACUGCGAAGGGGGGACGGAGAAGGCUAUGUUGGCCGGGCGACGGUUGUCCCGGUUUAAGCGUGUAGGCUGGUUUUCCAGGCAAAUCCGGAAAAUCAAGGCUGAGGCGUGAUGACGAGGCACUACGGUGCUGAAGCAACAAAUGCCCUGCUUCCAGGAAAAGCCUCUAAGCAUCAGGUAACAUCAAAUCGUACCCCAAACCGACACAGGUGGUCAGGUAGAGAAUACCAAGGCGCUUGAGAGAACUCGGGUGAAGGAACUAGGCAAAAUGGUGCCGUAACUUCGGGAGAAGGCACGCUGAUAUGUAGGUGAAGU